UACGGGGGGGGCAAGCGUUGUUCGGAAUUACUGGGCGUAAAGGGCGCGUAGGCGGCCUGCUAAGUCGGAUGUGAAAUCCCUCGGCUCAACCGAGGAACUGCAUCCGAUACUGGCGGGCUUGAAUCCGGGAGAGGGAUGUGGAAUUCCAGGUGUAGCGGUGAAAUGCGUAGAUAUCUGGAGGAACACCGGUGGCGAAGGCGGGUCUCUGGGCCGUAACUGACGCUGAGGAGCGAAAGCAUGGGGAGCGAACAGG
rnacentral:rRNA from 1 species